CUACGGGACGCAGCAGUCGAGAAUAGUCUACAAUGGACGAAAGUCUGAUAGUGCGACGCCGCGUGGAUGAAGAAGCAUUUCGGUGUGUAAAGUCCUUUUCUGUGUGAGCAAUGUUUUCCAGGUUAAUAGCUUGGAGAAAGCGAUAUUAACACAGGAAUAAGCUCCGGCUAACUCCGUGCCAGCAGCCGCGGUAACACGGGGGGAGCAAGCGUUGUCCGGAAUUACUAGGCGUAAAGGGUAAGUAGGCGGAAUUGUAAGUCAGAGGUAAAGGCACCGGCUCAACCGGUGUAUGGCAUUUGAUACUGUAAUUCUAGAGUAAGGUGGGGGAAGACGGAAUUCCUGGUGUAGCGGUGGAAUGCGCAGAUAUCAGGAGGAACACCAGAGGCGCAGGCGGUCUUCUAUACCAUUACUGACGCUCAAUUACGAAGGUGUGGGUAUCAAACAGGAUUAGAUACCCUAGUAGUC
rnacentral:rRNA from 1 species